UGUCAGCAUCGGAAGAAAAGCAAAAGGCAUGGGGGGAGCUGAUGCCAAGUAUGAACAUAUCAGUCCAGCUUCAAAUCUUAUCUGCCACUAUGCUGCCUGGAGCUGUAGCAGCUAGAAGGUUGCAAGAUUUGUGUUCCUGUUGUGGCCUUCUCACACUGAGCAGGGUUUGAGCCAAAGCAGACAACUCACUUGAAACACACGGUUUAUCUGUAGCCAGAACUUGUGGGCAGCGGGUUCCAGUGUAUUGUGAGCUAAAAUUUGCCUGGACUUUGCAAUGAGGACAAGCCCGAUGAGCCUUUACUGAAGCCUUCAUACAGUACUCAGUUCUCGUGAGUUCCUGCCUGGCUUGCUGCCUCUUGCUGCCUGUUUGGGGUGUCCAAAGCCUGCCCUUUUGACAGCUGGAGAAGCUCUUCACACUGCCCAUCUCCUGGGGGCUCAUGGGGCAGAUGUGCCCUCAUCCAUUAUCCUCAGUACCCAUUGCUUGGUGGACCAGCCUGCCUUCUCCACACUUGGAACUAGCGCUGUUAGUUUGUUGGCUCUAAUAAUGUUCAUUUGAAGCUCUAAUGGAUAUCCAUGCAGAUAACGUGCUAAUUUAUUAGUUCGGCUCAACAGGGUUGCAAGAUGAAAAAUGAUUGCGGAAGACUUUUAAUAAAAUUCAAAGGGAUUUUAUAGGUCUCAAGCCACUUUUAAAAUGCAAAAGAAAGCCGAGUAUUACUUUGUUAUCCCACAUAAUUCUAUCCUGCCUAAUGAGGUCUGGAGCUAAUCUUCAGCACUCUGCCCUGGGAUCAGAAUUGCUGGAGCAGGUAACUGUGGAUGAGCUUAGCCUCAUCUAGGUGCCAGAUCCUCUCAUCUAGGAGGCUGCACUGUGGAGCAGCAGAGUCCAACACCAAGUGCUCCCACCUUGGGGAAACAGCCUUUGUUUCCCUGAGUAUUGACCUGGAGACCCAGAAGGUGUUUUUGAACUGUUAACUGAAAUGCCUUGGGCUUUUCUGUCAGAUACUUGUGAAGCAGGAAGGCCCAGCUACGUCUGCUCUAGGCCUCAUGGUCACCUUCAGGAACAGCAGCUUGGCCCUGAAUUGGUGCUGAGAACAGGACAGUUCAGAGUGACAGUUUCUUCAGAGUUCUGCAAAGACUUCGAUGCUGUGGGAGGAAGCACAAAGGCAUAAGCAUCCAGAGGCUGUGGAUUCCCCAGAAGAACCUAUUUCCCUGAUAACUAGAGGCUGAACAAGAGUGCGUCGUUAUAGAGGUUUAAAUAACCCACAUAAGGUCAGCUGCUGCUUAAAUCCUUACUACCAGGUCUGUAGAUAUUUUUGCUUUGUUUCUAAGCAAGCUGAGAGUCCCGGUGCCAAAGGGCAACAUGUAAAUUGUGCUGUUAUUCUGCAGUGUGCAAGGUAAUAAAUGGUGCUGUCAAUUGUUUUCA
rnacentral:lncRNA from 1 species